CCCCAGGGACGGCGACAGUGUUGCAGCUGUGCUUGUGCAUGGCCACGCACUAGAUCUGGCCCUGAGUUGUGAACUGCUUUCUUGACCUCAGGCCUGAUGUGUCUGGUGGUCUGGGACUUCACCUCACACAGUGUGGUGUGACUGGGCUCUUGCUGGUGAUGCCAUUCCCCAGCCUUCUCACCAGGCUCCUUUGCCAGCUCUCACUCUUGCUGCUUUUGGCUGUGCAGGACCAGAGCUCACCUUGGAGCGUCUGGGCAGGAAAAAUUACAGAAGCACUUCUCUCCACAACUCCAUGAGUGAGGCUGACAGGCACCAGAACUCACAGCUCAUUCCAAGUGCUGUGCUCAAGGCUGAGAAGCAGAGGUGAAAUUAAGAGACCCUGUCCUUUGAAGAAUGUUGCCAAGACAAAAGUUAGUUUACUUCUGACUUGCUGACUUCCAUUACUGACUGAUCCUUCAGUGACUGCUCUGCAAAACAGGUGAAGGUCUUUGUCACAGGAUGCUCUGGAAACCACAAACAAAAACAGCCUGGAAAAGGUUACAAGAGGAAAAGAAAGAUCCACAGGCCCACCUCGGGAAAUUAUGGAGCCCUCGGUGGUGGAGGUGGGAAUGUGUAACAGGGGAGAGAGAAUUCAACACCUGUGUGGCUUAAGUGCUUCCCCUCUUCAGCCAUCAUGGACUACCCAGUGCUGGAAACAGGCUGCUAAGCUUUGAUCUCAGGGAGUGGAUCUGUUCUAAUGCUGUUCUCGUGUGCAGUGCUCUUUGAUGUGGGCAGUGCUCUGGGAUGCUAGGAGAAUGCUCUCUGCUUGUGAAUUCGCUCAGCCUGCAGAAGCUGAUGCCUUUGAAAGACUUCUGGCUUUGUUUCUUAAGUCAUUUGAUGCUGCUUGCACAGCUGGUGAGAUCACAGAGUCACAGCAUGUUAGGGGUUGGAAGCGACCUCCAAAGCGCAUCCAGUCCAAGCCUUCUGCCAGAGCAGGAGCACCUACAACAGGUCACCCAGGAAUGCAUCCAGGUGCAUUUUGAAUGUCUCCAGAGGAGGAGACUCCACAGUCUCUCUGGGCAGCCUGUUCCAGUGUUCUGGCACCCUCACAGGGAAAGUAUGUCCUUCUGUUCAUGUGGAACCUCCUCUGCUCCAGCCUGCACCCAGUGCUCCUUGUUCUACCAUUGGACAUCAGUGACAGAGCCUGGCCCUGUGCUCUUGACACUGCCCUUCACCUCUUUAUUAACAUGAAUGAGGUCACCCCUCGGGCUCCUCUGCUCCCAGCCCCAGCUCCCUCAGCCUGUCCUCAGCAGCUCCACUGCCUGCAGCAGCUUUGUGGCUCUGUGCUGGACUCUCUCAAGCAGUUUCCUGUCCUUCACUGAACUGCUGUUGGCUCUUUCCCUACCUGAGUUUUCACAAGACAUCAGCAGAGGAGCAGCAGAGGAUUGGCAGGUUGGAAUGUAAACAAGAUGACUCUACCUACAUCUUCCUUGGAGCUUGCCUGGCAGCUGUCUGCAAAGGGACCACUUUCCUAACAUCAAUAUUGUGAGGAAUGACUGAAGUUUCAAGUGAGACCAUCUCCCUUCCACUUUGGCAAACACAAUUAUGGAGCUCAGACAACUCCACUGGUAGACAUUUACUCGAGGAGCUCCCUAUAAUCCUAUCAAACCUGGAGGCAAUAAAGGUUGGAUAUUCUCACUCAGACAGUGAAGAAACAACGUGAGAAGCAAGUUGAAAGGCCCUCAGCUGAAGAAUAUUCCACUAGUGAAGACAAAACUGAUAGCUGCUUUUUGCUGCUGAAGAUGAAGAGGAACCAGUUGCAUUCAUCUGCCUCCCUGGGCUUGUGCAGGCAUGAGAGUGGUCUCCACCUUCUCAAAAGCACAGAACCUUAGAGGCUGGAAAGGACCUCCAGAGAUCAUCCACUCCAAGCCCCCUGCCAGAGCAGGAUCCCCUAGGGUUUCCUUCAGAGGUGAUCUUUUCCCCUUUUCUGAGCCCUGGAAGACCAAAGCACCAGGAAGAAACAUUUCACAUCCUUAACAAAAAAAAUCCAAAGGCCCUGGGAGAAGAAUGUGCAGGAAGAAGGAUCUGUUUGCAUAGAUGGAGUAAGUGAUUGGGCUGCUGCACUGCCAGCAC